rnacentral:lncRNA from 1 species
GGAGUUAGCGACAGGGAGGGAUGCGCCCCUGGGUGUAGUUGUGGGGGAGGAAGUGGCUAGCUCAGGGCUUCAGGAGACAGACAGGGAGAGAUGACUGAGUUAGAUGAGACUAGGGGGCGGGCUGGGGGUGCGAGAAGGAAGCUUGGCAAGGAGACUAGGUCUAGGGGGACCACAGUGGGGCAGGCUGCAUGGAAAAUAUCCGCAGGGGCUCCCAGGCAGAACAGCCACGCUCCAGGCCAGGCUGUCCCUACUGCCUGGUGGAGGGGAAACUUGACCUCUGGGAGGGCGCCGCUCUUGCAUGGCUGAGCGAGCCCGGGUGCGCUGGUCUGUGUGGAAGGAGGAAGGCAGGGAGAGGUAGAAGGGGUGGAGGAGUCAGGAGGAAUAGGCCGCAGCAGCCCUGGAAAUGAUCAGGAAGGCAGGCAGUGGGUGCAGGGCUGCAGGAGGGCCGGGAGGGCUAAGCUUCAACUUGUCCAUGCCAGCAGCCCCUUUUUUUCCAGACCAAGGGCUGUGAACCCGCCUGGGGAUGAGGCCUGGUCUUGUGGAACUGAACUUAGCUCGACGGGGCUGACCGCUCUGGCCCAGGGUGGUAUGUAAUUUUCGCUCGGCCUGGGACAGGGCCCAGGCCGGGCCCAGCCUGGUGGAGCGUCCAGGUCUGGGUGCGAAGCCAGGCCCCUGGGCGGAGGUGAGGGGUGGUCUGAGGAGUGAUGUGGAGUUAAGGCGCCAUCCUCACCGGUGACUGGUGCGGCACCUAGCAUGUUCGACAGGCGGGGACUGCGAGGCACGCUGCUCGGGUGUUGGGGACAACAUUGACCAACGCUUUAUUUUCCAGGUGGCAGUGCUCCUUUUGGACUUUUCUCUAGGUUUGGCGCUAAACUCUUCUUGUGAGCUCACUCCACCCCUUCUUCCUCCCUUUAACUUAUCCAUUCACUUAAAACAUUACCUGGUCAUCUGGUAAGCCCGGGACAGUAGCCGAGUGGCUGUUGGAGUCGGUAUUGUUGGUAAUGGUGGAGGAAGAGAGGCCUUCCCGCUGAGGCUGGGGUGGGGCGGAUCAGUGUUGCUUGCCUGCAGAGAGGGUGGGGAGUGAGUGUGCACCCUUGGGUGGGCCUGCAGCCAUCCAGCUGAAAGUUACAAAAAUGCUUCAUGGACCGUGGUUUGUUACUAUAGUGUUCCUCAUGGCGAGCAGAUGGAACCGGGAGACAUGGAGCCCCUGGCCAGUGUGAGUCCUAGCAGUGCAGGAGGGGAGACCCUGGAGGAGAGAGCCCGCCUCAAUUGAUGCCUGCAGAUUGAAUUUCCAGAGGCUUAGGAGGAGGAAGUUCUCCAAUGUUCUGUUUCCAGGCCUUGCUCAGGAAGCCCUGUAUUCAGGAGGCUACCAUUUAAAGUUUGCAGAUGAGCUUAUGGGGGGCAAUCUUAAAAAGUCCACAGCAGAUGCAUCCGGCUCGAGGGGCCAUCAGCUUUGAAUAAAUGCUUGUUCCAGAGCCCAUGAAUGCCAGCAGGCACCCCUCCUUUCCUGGGGUAAAGGUUUUCAGAUGCCGCAUCUUCUAAAUUGAGCCUCCGGUCAUACUAGUUUUGUGCUUGGAACCUUGCUUCAAGAAGAUCCCUAAGCUGUAGAACAUUUUAACGUUGAUGCCACAACGCAGAUUGAUGCCUUGUAGACGGAGCUUGCAGAUGGAGCCCCGUGACCUCUCACCUACCCACCUGUUUGCCUGCCUUCUUGUGCGUUGCUCGGAGAAGUUCUUAGCCUGAUGAAAUAACUUGGGGCGUUGAAGAGCUGUUUAAUUUUAAAUGCCUUAGACUGGGGAUAUAUUAGAGGAAGCAGAUUGUCAAAUUAAGGGUGUCAUUGUGUUGUGCUAAACUCUGGGAGGGUACAAGUUGGUCAUUCCUAAAUCUGUGUGUGAGAAAUGGCAGGUCUAGUUUGGGCAUUGUGAUUGCACCGCAGAUUACUAGGAGAAGGGAAUGGUGGGUACACCGGUAGUGCUCUUUUGUUCUUGCUUCGUUUUUUUAAACUUGAACUUUACUUCGUUAGAUUUCAUAAUACUUUCUUGGCAUUCUAGUAAGAGGACCCCGAGGUGGGAGUUGUGGGGGACGGGAAGAAGGGGACAGCUUGGCACUGGUCCCGUGGGCCUUGCAGUGUGGGGGAUGGGGGUAUGCAGCUUGGCACUGGUACUGGGAGGGAUGAGGGUGAAGAAGGGGAGAGGGUUGGUUAGAGAUACAGUGUGGGUGGUGGGGGUGGUAGGAAAUGCAGGUUGAAGGGAAUUCUCUGGGGCUUUGGGGAAUUUAGUGCGUGGGUGAGCCAAGAAAAUACUAAUUAAUAAUAGUAAGUUGUUAGUGUUGGUUAAGUUGUUGCUUGGAAGUGAGAAGUUGCUUAGAAACUUUCCAAAGUGCUUAGAACUUUAAGUGCAAACAGACAAACUAACAAACAAAAAUUGUUUUGCUUUGCUACAAGGUGGGGAAGACUGAAGAAGUGUUAACUGAAAACAGAUGACACAGAGUCACCAGUUUUCCGAGAACCAAAGGGAGGGGUGUGUGAUGCCAUCUCACAGGCAGGGGAAAUGUCUUUACCAGCUUCCUCCUGGUGGCCAAGACAGCCUGUUUCAGAGGGUUGUUUUGUUUGGGGUGUGGGUGUUAUCAAGUGAAUUAGUCACUUGAAAGAUGGGUGUCAGACUUGCAUACGCAGCAGAUCAGCAUCCUUCGCUGCCCCUUAGCAACUUAGGUGGUUGAUUUGAAACUGUGAAGGUGUGAUUUUUUCAGGAGCUGGAAGUCUUAGAAAAGCCUUGUAAAUGCCUAUAUUGUGGGCUUUUAACGUAUUUAAGGGACCACUUAAGACGAGAUUAGAUGGGCUCUUCUGGAUUUGUUCCUCAUUUGUCACAGGUGUCUUGUAAUUGAAAAUCAUGAGCGAAGUGAAAUUGCAUUGAAUUUCAAGGGAAUUUAGUAUGUAAAUCGUGCCUUAGAAACACAUCUGUUGUCUUUUCUGUGUUUGGUCGAUAUUAAUAAUGGCAAAAUUUUUGCCUAUCUAGUAUCUUCAAAUUGUAGUCUUUGUAACAACCAAAUAACCUUUUGUGGUCACUGUAAAAUUAAUAUUUGGUAGCAGACAGAAUCCAUGUACCUUUGCUAAGGUUAGAAUGAAUAAUUUAUUGUAUUUUUAAUUUGAAUGUUUGUGCUUUUUAAAUGAGCCAAGACUAGAGGGGAAACUAUCACCUAAAAUCAGUUUGGAAAACAAGAGCUAAAAAGGGAAGGGGAUGGGGAUUGUGGGGAGAGAGUGGGCGAGGUGCCUUUACUACAUGUGUGAUCUGAAAACCCUGCUUGGUUCUGAGCUGCAUCUAUUGAAUUGGUAAAGUAAUACCAAUGGCUUUUUAUCAUUUCCUUCUUCCCUUUAAAUUUCACUUGAAAUUUUAAAAAUCAUGGUUAUUUUUAUCGUUGGGAUCUUUCUGUCUUCUGGGUUCCAUUUUUUAAAUGUUUAAAAAUAUGUUGACAUGGUAGUUCAGUUCUUAAUGACUUGGGGAUGAUGCAAACAAUUACUGUCGUUGGGAUUUAGAGUGUAUUAGUCACGCAUGUAUGGGGAAGUAGUCUCGGGUAUGCUGUUGUGAAAUUGAAACUGUGAAAGUAGAUGGUUGAAAGUACUGGUAUGUUGCUCUGUAUGGUAAGAACUAAUUCUGUUACGUCAUAUACAUAAUUACUAAUCACUUUUCUUCCCCUUUACAGCACAAAUAAAGGUUUGAGUUCUAAACUCAUUAGAAUUGUUGUAUUGCUAUGUUACAUUUCUCGACCCCUAUCACAUUGCCUUCAUAACGACUUUGGAUGUAUCUUCAUAUUGUAGAUUUAGGUCUAGAUUUGCUAGCUCCAAGUAAGUAAGGCCAUGUAGGAGAGCAUGGUAACCACAGAUAGAACUGGUAUUAUCCCAAGUGGUCUGCAGACUGCUGAGUGGGGAUGGGAUCUGCUCUCUGUUGAGAGUUGGUAAUCAUUGGUUUGAAAUGUGAUGAAACCACUCAAGCCAAUGAAGGUGGGCGUGUAGGUGGGGAGUACUUUGCCAUAAUAUUUUAAAACAUUACCUGGUUGGAGUUCUAAGUGGUACUUAUUUUUGUUUGGUUAGGGGAAAGCCUGAAUAAAAACAGAAAUGGACACAUAAUAUGCAUAUUCCAUAGUCUUUGGGAGGCUGGAAUGUGCCUGGGAUUUGGGUCUAAGUGUGCGUAAUUCUUACCUCACUAAAGAAUUUGCCUUGUUUUUUUCCUUUUGGUGAGUGACUAAAACGUCUGGGCUUCCCUGUGUGCGUGCUACAGUAAGCAAGCAGAGGCUGUGCAAAGGUGUGAGCAGGAUCACGUGGAAUCUGGAGGAUACAUCUUGGCUUGCAAACUGCCUCUGUGUCCUGGGUGGGACUGUUCUGUCCUUGCACUGCUGUUCUGUGUUACCUCUUGGGGUGUAAGGUUUUGCUUACAGGAGACAAACUUUGGGCGUAGAAUGGAAGCCACUGCCAGCCUCUGUGCUGAGAAGGAAGGUGCUUGUUUCAAAGGGAGCAGCAAGGGAGGCUUGUUCUACUCACCUGGGCCUGUUUGCCUGAGAAGGGGAGAUAAGGGCUGAACUGGGACUAGCCAGGGGGACCAACACAAAUGGUGGGGGAUCAUUGACCUGAAGGAUUCUUUCCUUCCCAUGAGCUGCGGGACUGGUUGCCAUCCUUGCAACUGUGUCUUGUUUGCCUGUGCCGUUGUAUCUUGGUGACCCCUCCACGUGUACACUACUGACAAACGGGUGGAGUGCUGGGGAGAAGUCACCGUGCCGCCCACCUAGUAAACCUUCUGUCUGUGCUCAUGGCACCUCCAAGAUGGGGAACUGCUGUGUGCAGAAUCCAGGGUCCUCUUUCUGCUUGCAACUCCUUUCCCUGGAUGCCCCAGAAACAAUCCAGGCCUCCUUUCCUAUCUUACCCCUUUGCUUUUUACCCCAGCACCUCUAUAACCGCCUUCUCUUCUUUUCAGAACUCCUUGUUUCUCGUCCUGUUUUUUAUGAUUACAAAACUCUUGCUUCCACCCUGGAAGAUAACUGCUAUAGAUGCCUGUAUGUAAAUGGUGCUGUCUCCAGCAACUGGCAUGCUGAAGAAGAAUUGAUUCACGGGGUAUAAAUGUCGGGGAUUGGAAGUGGGGAUGAAAUGGCGGAAGUGGGGAUGAAAUGGCACUUGUUGAUACAGGAGCAGAGAGGUGAGGCCGACUGCUGAAGACAGCUCACCACCCUCCUUGCCUCCACUCCAAUCCAGGGGCUGGGGCCACAUUCUUUGCCUUCAUUUAUCCUCAGAUCAGGUGAGAUCGACAGGAGGUGUUGAUGGCAGUGCCAGCAAUUAUUGCUAAUCCGUUUGCAUCCUUAUGCAUAGAUCUGAAUUCAGACUUUGUGAAUUUCCAGAGGCGUGGGUAAUAUAAUAGAAUUCAGUGAGUGGGCAUGGCUGAUCUUGUGCAAAUUAGAAGUUAUGGGGCAUAAGAAUAGCAAAAGUUGAACUUGAGCUUCUUUUAAAAAGGAAAGUACCCUGAGAGCCAGUAUUGGUUGAGGCUCUUCAGUAUGCCCAGGUUGGCGGCACUGAGAACCGCAGGAACGGCCUGUUGUUACAAAAAGGAGAUUGACUCAGCUGCCCUUGGUGCAUCUUACUGACUAUGACUGCUGAGAGAUUCCAAGGACCCUUAAUGCCAGGGCUAACCUCUCCAUGUGCAGUGAGACCUCUGGAGGAAGUGUCAUCCUCUGGCUUUGUGUGGUACUCAUUAUGGUGCAGUGCGGGCAUGAAAUGAAGACACCCAAAUAGGCUUACAGAUACUUACGAUAUGUUUUAAAUGUUCGUAUUUAACAAAAACAUACUGACGCUGUUUGGAAAUGGCAACAGGAAGAUAGCAAAAUGAAUACUAACAUUACGAAAAGAUGAACAGGUACAUGUUCCAAGGCAGGUGGCUGUGAACUUCCUCUGAGUGAAGGCAUCCCCUCCAGCACCUUUCAGCCUGCUAGUUAGGACGACCUGCCGCCACCCUCCAGGACCUCCAGCCCUGCACUGCCUUUCCUCUCUUUUAAAUAAUUCUUCAUUGAGUUCUAAUAUGUAAAAAAAAAAAAAAAGUUUACUGUAAAGUUUGCAAAUAAGGAAAUUUUUUAUAAAAGUCCUCAGUAAUCUUACCAGUAACAAUUGUUAUGGGCACAUUUGCUUUUGGAGGAUUUCUUUUGUAUGCAUGGGAUAAGUACAUUUUUAAACAAAAAUGGGAUUAUGCCAUAGAUUCUAUUUUGUGACUUUAAUAAAUAGUGAACACCUUUUUUAAUGAUGACGGGAUGUUCCCUUGCAUGGCUGUAUCAAUUUAAACAAUCUUGUUUCAAUGGACAUACAGGGUAUUUUCUAGUUUUUUUUCCUCUUAGAAAAUAAUACUUGUGAUGACUUUCCUUGUAGCUCAGACUUUUUCACGUCUGUUGUUAUCUCUUUGGGAAUGCUGAAUACAUACAUUUCGAGAAGGAAAUGACUGUUAAACUCUUAAGACUUCAGGUUCAUAUUGCUAAACUGCCCAGCAGGGAGGGAUUUUUUCAAUUAGUGUUCUCACUGGUGAGGCAAACCUGAUGCCUUCCCCUCUUCCUCAGAACCGGCUUUAUCACAUUGAAAACCUUUGCUCCUCCGACGGAUUGAGUCAGCUUUCCCUGUGGAUGUGAGCAUUGCUUUGUCUGCUGGCGACUGAACAUCUCUACCCUGUGUCAAUUGGCCAUUUGUGGUGUGUGUGUGUGUGUGUAUGAUUUUCUAAUUCCUAGUCAUUUUUCUAUUGAUUGUUUUGCAAAAGCCAUUCACAUCUUAAGGAUAUUGAUAAUCUUUUGUUAUAUUUGAUGCAAAUAUUUUUUUCCAGUUUAUAGGUUGCCUUUUAAUUUUGUGUUUCAGGUAGAUAAAAGUUACACGAUUUUCUUAGGUUAGUUUAUCACUGUGGUUUCUGAACUUGUUAUGUGUAGAUCUUUUCCACCCCAAGAGUACAUAAAUAUUAAUCCAUACUUUCUUGUGGAACUUGUAUGGUUUCGUUUUUUACAUUUAAACCUUCUUCCCCGUGGUGUGGGUUGUGGAAUCUGUGUUUGUGUGAGGAGGGGCAUGGUGCUCUCAGAACCCACCUCCUGUGGCCAGAGAGCCCUGUCCUGUGAGGGUGGUUGUCACAGUGGCAGGGUUCAAUUCAGAAGACCUUGAGGGCAGGCUGAUGUUUCCUGAAUGGGCCCCUGGUUGUUGCUUGUCCCUGACUCUCCAUUUCCCCAUCUGAGUGGAUUUGGACCUAAUAGGGCACUGGAGCUGGUUCGAAUCCUGACUGGACUACUUGGCAACUUUAUGUCUGGGAGCAAGUUACUUAACCUCCCCAAGCCUGUGUCUGUGAAAUGCGGGUAAAUGAAUGUAGAUGUUUGGCAGCAGCUACUCCUUGUUGAGCUCUCACAGUGAACUCUCUUGCCUCUGCCCUCCUUCCCCGCCUCCCCUGGUGCCUAGCGUCAGGUCUAGCCACUUCCUCCUGGGCCCCUCUCCCUUUUCUGUGGCUGGCUGCCUGCCCGCCUGGCGCUGGACCUUUCAUGUAACGGGAAUCAGCAUGUAUAUUCUGGUCUGGUCUGUUUCUACACUUAAUUUUGUUUCCAGUAGUAUUUCCCUGUACCGGCAGAGUUCACAAACACAUUUGAAGAGGCUUUUUCUCAGGAUUCUUAACCUUCCCAAAGGAAGUCCCAUGGAUGGGUUUCUAGAAGUCUAUAAAUGCUCUGAAAUUGUAUUUUUCUGUGGAAAGCAUAACUUUCAUCUGCUUGUUCGUGCUCAAAAAAGAUCAUGAAUGAAUGAUUGCAUGAUUUUAUGCCAUUGUGCUUAUACUAAAGGAUAUGUAGCCCAUCUCUUGAGUUGUUAAACUGUUUUGACUACUUUAAAUCGUGCAGCUGUGAGCAUCUCUGUAAAUUUAGUGUACACGUGUAUCCCCUGGAGUGGCAUUGCCUCGGCAGUGAGCACUUACGGUUUUAUAACUCUCUUCUCAAUGACUCAAAUGACUCCAGAAAGCUACGCUUCCUGUUGUGAGUAUAUGAUAUCCAUUUCCCUACAUAGCCACUAACAUCAGGUUUUUACAAUUUUAUUUAUUUCUUGCUACUUUAAGAAAUUUUUGUGGUGAAAUACAUAUAAUAGAAGUUGACUAUCUGAAUCAUUUUUAAGUAUACAUUCAGUAGUGUUAAGUAUGUCGCCAUUGUUGUACAACCAAUCUCCAGAACUUUUUCAUCUUGCAAAACAAACUCUGUACCCAUUAAAUAACAUUAAACAUUCCAUUCCCUCCAGCCUCAGCAACCCCAUUCUACUUUCUGUUUCUGCGAGUUUGACUAUUCCAAGCACUUCAUAUCAGUUAAAUCAUGAAGUAUUUGUCUGUCUGUGACUGGCUUACUUCUCUGAGCACAGUGUCCUCGAGAUGCGUCUAUGUUGUAGCAUAUGUCAGAAUGUCCUUCCUUUUUAAAAGAGCCGAAUAAUAUUCUUAUUUUAUAUCUUUUUUUAAUCCAUUCAUCCAUUAGUGGACACUUGGGUUGCUUUUGGCUAUUGUAAAUAAUGGUGCUAUGUACAAAUAUCUAUAUUAUUGUAUUUACAAGUAUAAUGCUGUAAUGUACACACAUCUUUUUGAGAUCCUGCCUUCAGUUCUUUUGAGUAUAUAGCCAGAAGCGGUAUUACUAAAUCUUACGGUAUUUCUAUUUUUAAUUUAUUGAGGAACCACGGUAGUUUUUCAUAGCAACUGCACCAUUUUACGUUCUCACCAAGAGUGCACAAGGGUUCCGAGGUUCCCACAUCCUCCCCAACACUUGUUAUUUUCUGCUUUUUUAAGAUUGCAGCCAUCAUAGUGGGUGUGAGGUGACAUUUCAUUGUGGUUUUGAUUUGCAUUUCCCUAAUGAGGAGUGAUGCUGAGCAUCUUUUCAUAUGCUUACUGGUCAUUUGUAUGUUGUCUUUGGAAAAAUGUCUAUUCAAGUCCUUUGACUAUUUUAAAAAUUGGGUUAUUAGAGUUAUCGUUGUUGUUGACUUGUAGGAGUUUCUUUCUAUAUUCUGGAUAUUAAUCCCCUAUCAGAUAUAUGAUUUGCAAAUAUCUUCUCUUAUUCCAUAAGGUUACUUUUUCACUUUGUUGAUUGUGUUCUUUGAUGUAUAGAAGUUUUUAGUUUUGAAAUAGUCUAAUUUAUCUGUUUUUACUUUUGUGGUCUGUGCUUUUGGUGUCAUAUCCAAGAAAUCCUUGCCAAAUCCAACGUUAUAAGGUACUUUUAAGGUAUGUUAGUUGUCUUAGUCUAUAUUUCUGUACUCACCUUUCUUUAUCCACUCAUCAGUUGAUGGGCAUGUAGGUUGGUUCCAUAUCUUUGCAAUUCUGAAUUGUGCUGUGAUCAGGUGUCUUUUUAGUAUAAUGAUUUAUUCUCCUUUGGGUAGAUACCCAGUAGUGGGAUUGCUGGAUCGAAUGGUUUUUAUAAUUUUCUAUUUUACCACAGUUUCUCUCUGCAUUUUUCCUCUUUGACCACUAACCAUGUGAAAUUCUCAUAUUGACCUUUAUAAUGAUCAUGAACUCUUAGUAUCAUUGGGAAGGCCACAUUUGCCACUUAUGAUUGUAAACCUUAUCCUCCAUUUUUCCUGUUAUUGUUGGUGCAAAAAGCACCUAUUAUACCAGGACUUUAAAAAUCAGUCUGAUAAGUCUUUGAUAAGUCUAAUAAUAAUAACUGAUAAGUCCAUUGAAUUUGCUUCUGAUUACUUUUUCUUUAGUAGCUAAACAUCUAUGUACUCCUAUGGUUACAAUGAACACUCCUCUCCAUUUAAAUUAAUUAUUUACAUUGAUGAAAUACGGUCUUGGUUUUUUUGUUCCAGGUCAGUCAAUAUUAACUUCUUAUAAUUUUCUUUUUUUUCUUUGUGUGUGUGUGUGUGUGUGUGUGUGUGUGUAUUUUUUUUUUUUUUAAUUUCAAUGGCUUUUGGGGUACAAAUGGCUUUUGGUCAUAUAGAUGAAUUCUACAGUAGUGAAGUCUGAGAUUUUACUGCACCGGUCACCCGAGUAGUGUACAUUGUACCCAAUAUGUGGUUUUUUAUACCUUGCCCCCCUCUUACCCUCCCCACUUUGAGUCUCUAGUGUCCAUUAUGUCACUCUGUAUACCUUUUUGUACCCGUAAGUUAGCUCUCACUUAUAAGUGAGAACACACAGUAUUUGGUUUUCCAUUCCUGAGUUGCUUCACUUAGAAUAAUAUCCUCCAGCUCCAUCCAAAAUUGCUGCAAAAAAAAAAAAACCACAAACAUUAUUUUGUUCUUUUUUAUUGCUAAGUCAUAUUCCAUGGUGUAGAGAUACCACAUUUUAUUUAUCCACUCACUGGUUGAUGGGUUGGUUCCACAUCUUUGCAAUUGUGACUCAUACUGCCAUCAAGUGUCUUUCUGGUAUAAUGACUUCUUUUCCUUUGGGUAGAUACCCAGGAGUGGGAUUGCUAGAUCAAAUGGUUCUUAACAUUUUCUGUCUGGAUCUAUUUCUGGAAAUUUUAGGCUCCAGUUUUUGUUGUUGUUGUUAAUAAAAUGCAAUGGAAUGUAAUGAUCAUCACUUUUCAUUAUGCUUUAAAAUCUGGUAAAUGGAGGCUAGAACACUCCUGUAAGGCAAGAAUAUUCUCUCUCUGUUGGAACUCAAAUACACAGAACUGGGUAAAUCUCAAUCUUAAUCUUUGAUUCAGGACACAACAUGGCUCUCUUUUACUUGCUUUCUUUAAUUGUUUUUUAAUAAUGUGGUAAGCAUUUCUGAAUCUCCUAUCCAAUACAAAAACUAGGACAAUACAGACAGUAACUCCUAUGGUUACAAUGAACACUCCUCUCCAUUUAAAUUAAUUAUUUACACUGAUGAAAUUGAAAUAGCAAAAUUUUAAUGACUAAAUACUGUCUUUGAUUUUGUGUUCCAGGUCUGUCAAUAUUAACUUCUUAUAAUUUUCUUUUUUUUCUUUAUGUGUGUGUGUGUGUGUAUAUAUAUAUUUAAUUUCAAUGGCUUUUGGGGUACAAAUGGCUUUUGGUCAUACAGAUGAGUUCUACAGUAGUGAAGUCUGAGAUUUUACUACACCUUCCACUUAUGUGGUCCCACACCACCCGCCUCCCCUGCCGCCUCCUGCCACCCCCUAGGCCAAGGUAAUAAUCAUCCUGAAUCCUGGGUUUAUCUCUCACUUGCUUUCUUUUCAUAUAAUUUUGCAAAAGAAUCUGAUCUAAAUAUGUUUUUCAGAGUAUAUAUUUAUAUUUUAGUUGUUCUUAGAGAAAAUUUAUUAUUUUGCAUGUAAUCUUAUGGAACAUUCUCAUUUAAUACCAUGGUAAGAUUCAGCCCUUGCCCAGGGGAUAGUUCAUUUAGUUUGUUUACUGGAUAGAGCUCAUCAUGUGACUAUACCUCAGUUAGUUUAUCAGUUCUCCCAUCCAUGGUGACUAGGUUGCCUCUCAGCCUCUCAACAACACUGUUUCUCAGUGUCCUUGUAGAAGUGAUAUGUGGGUGUUUUCUCCUUACACAGAGUUGAAAGGUGAUGACAACAACGUUGGCACUACCAAUCCCCCACCCUCCAGAGGGGUAACCAGUGUUACCAGUUUGCUGUGUUUCCUGCUACACCUCGCCUUAUUCACUUCCAUUUGUAUCUGAAAAACGUGUUGCAUGGUUUCUUUUCUAUAGAAGUGGUAAAAUGCUAUUGUAUCCUGUACAUUAUUGAUUACUUUUUUUCAUUUAACAGUAGGGAGAUGCCUGGGAGUACACAGAGAACUGCCCUCAUUGUUUUCAACUUCUGCACUGUAUGUCUGUGAGUUUAGCCAUUCUGCUGUUAAUGGAAAUUUACAGUAUUCUAAUCUUUUGAUAUUACAAACAGUACUGUGCGAUCGUCAUACACAACCCCUUGUGCACAAUGCAUGAGUGUUUCUCAGGGUAAGUACCAAGAAGUGAAAUUCCUGGGUCAUAGAGCGUGAGUCCGACAUUUUCCUCCAUUCUGCCCUGUUGCCCUCCAGAGUGGGUGUCCAGCUUUGCAUACCUAAGUAUGAGAGUAUCUGUUGUUCAUAUCCUCUACGACGCUCCAUAUAUGAAACUUAAGUUUCUGCUAGUUGCCGUCUUUGAUCUAUCAUGUAUGCAGUGACCUACUAAGACUGUAAUUGGUAAAGUAGAUUCUUGUCAUCUGUGUGUGAAUUUAGCAUUCAUGGGCUUAAUGCUGACAAGGCCCCCAGGGUCCAAGACAUAUAAUCAUGUAUAAUUUUGUCAAGGUAUAAUUUUUUAAAUUGCUCUUGUCAUGUGUCUGCUGGGGAUGCCCAACCCAGUGCUCUGCACCCAGGUCACACUGUGGCUUUGUCCUCUGCUUAUGCCUGCAUUGCAGCAACUGUCCUGAAGAGACCAAAAUUAUGCAGAUUUAGGUAAGCCCAUGGCUAAUGUUAUUAUAUUAUGUGCUAUUGUAAUGGAUGGGGCUGUGGAGUGUAUGAAUUUAUAAAUCACUGGUCUUGUAAUUAAAAUUCAAACACUAUAGAAAAAGGCCAUGUAGAAGAUAAAAGUUCCUUUAUAAUCCCGGACCCCUAAGAUAACUACUAAUGACAACUUCAUUUAUAUUCCUUCAGACAUUUUCUGGCUGUGGAUGUACUAAAAUGUAUCCUAUUAUUCUCUGCCCUAAAAUGGAAUCAUACAAGGUGUACUGUUAUUUUUAUGGCUCUAUAACAUGUCAUAUUGUACGUGUUGGUAUGGUCAUUUUAACCAUUUUUCUAGUGAUGGCUUUGAGGUUAUUUGCAGUUUCCUAGCCAUCUCAAAGUGUGCUGCGGGGAUCUCUUUUGCAUCCCUCUGGGUGCAGAGCUGAGGCACCCAGAGGCAGUGUCCAGAGGAGGCAGCAUCUGUAGGUGUCUUCACCUGCUCUGGCUCUUGGCACAUCUGGUUGGUGACACUGUUUUGUGAGAUGGGUUGAAAGCACGUGCUGCCAAAAUAGAAUAAUGUUGGUCCUCUCCUCAUGUGCCGUGGAACUGGGGUAAAACUGCGUAGUGGCUGCAGCUGCCUGUCCAUACCGGAAUCGAGUAUAACACGGUGCCUGGCUUAGCGCAAAACAGUAGUGGGUCCUGCAGGCCCCAGAGUCUAAUUCCUGGUAUUCUUUCCCCUACGCAGAUUAAAUAAACCAAAAACAAACUAUUCUAGGAAAGCGUCUGUGACAUUUGUAAAAAGUGGUAUUUAAUUAUCUUUUAUUCACUUGUCUGUUUAGUUUGUUGAAAUCUUAAGUGGCAUCCUGGUCUGGGAAGGAGUGCUGUCUGCGCCUGCCCUCCGCUGGGCACAGCGUGGCUGCUUCAGGGGCUAAGCACACACUUUCUGUCUUCUAAAGGGCCGCCACAUGCCAGGAGCUCAGGUGUGAGCCCGGCUCUGGCUCUUACCUCAUAGGGUCACUCAUAGGGGCACAGGGAGCUGAACAUUGUACACAGCGAGGCACCACCCGGCUCGGCAUCUGCCCCGGUGGACUUCCUACCUCUAGAAGGAAAUACCUGAGUUCCUCUGGCCUCAGCUCCUAGAGUGACUGGUGUGCUGUCCCUCUUACUCUUCUGUCAAGGUGACAACUGUGUGACCCAUCAUCUGUGUGUCAAAGCAAGGCCCUACCUGGGCCUCUGCUCCUGUGCUGACCCCAAAGGCAAAUGCUUUGCUAGUUUCCUUCCAGUUAAUUUCACCUAUGAAUAGAUGUGUGAAAACUGUUCAAAGCCAUACAUGCACAUGUUCGAACUUCAAACCCUGUGGGUGAUUCAGUGGCAUCUUUCUCUAACCCCCAGCCUCCCUUCCCACAGAGGCCACCGUCAUGGCCAGUUGCUGCAGUUUCUUUCCAGAGAACCUGUGUAUGUGUAAAGCUGUACAGGCGUGGGUACACCACACAGCCUGUCUUGCACUGUGGACUGUUGAGUUACUAGUACAUCUAGGUAAGCACCGCAUAUCUGUAUUCAUGUCUGCCUUGGUCUUUUCAACAUCUGUGUGGUAGCCGUGUUUGAAUUAUCCAUUCCCUUUUUGGGGAACCAUUAAGUUGUUUCAGCAAUUUUUACUGUAGAUAAGGCUAUACCGCAUAUCUGUGUACAUGGGUUUUUAUGUACAUGGGCAAGUAUAUCUGUGAGGGAAAAGUUUCCUCAGGAGGAAUUCUGGGCACAGCAUGUGUAAAUUUCUAAAUAUGAUGGACACCCCCAGCUUCCACCUCAAGGAGGUUGUUCCCAUUGACAUUUCCCCACACCUUCACCCAGGCUGUGCCCUUAAACUUGGUUAUUCGUCAAUGUGAGAAGUGGAAAAUAGUAUUUAAUUGUAGUUUGGAUUUGUAUUUCUAUUGGGUUGUAUACUUACUGAUUAAUAAUAAGAGCUCUUUACAUAUUAAGGAAAUUAACCAUUUUCAAAUACAUUCCUAUUUCUCACUAAUCUUUAAGUUUUAUUGUAAUAUUUUGCUCUUUAUAUAUAUAUAUAUAUAUACACACACACACACACACACACACACACACACACACACACAUAUAUAUACUAAUUUUCUUUUAUGGUUCCUGGAUUUUGUGAGUAGUUUGAAAAGGCUAAUCCAGCUGAAGAUUUUGUUGUUGUUGUUAAACCCCAUGUUUUCUCCUAACUCUUUUUAUUUUUAUUUUGGAGGACUCUAUCUGGACUUAAUUUUAGCAUAACAAGUGACAGGGUUAGUUAGCCUGUUGUCCUUACACCAUUUUCUGGCUAAUACAGCUAUUAACUAUUGAUCUGUCUAUUCACGUGCCAGUUCCUAAUGGUUUUACAUAGUGUAAUCUGCACUUCAAAAUAGCGAAGGGAAGCCCUACCUCAUUAUUCUACUUUUCCAGAAUUCUCCUGGCUAUUCCAGGCUGCAUGUUUACCUUAACCUUCCCUGUGAUGUCUUCAUGCUGUUGUCUUCUUAUGCAAGAAUAAGGUACGUCUUUCCAUCCACUCACGUCUGUUUAAUUUGACUUUGCAUUACACAGAAAGCUGGUCUUGGUCUGUCUACCUUGGCAUCUAGUUGUCCUCACUGCCCCCUAGCCGACCCCACCCCAUCUGACUGACUACCCCAUCACAGAGUACUUUUAUUUACGUUUUGCUCUGCCUAAUGGUUACUUGAUACUGUCACGCCGACAGUGUCCAGUUCAGUGGUCUUUGCAGUUGAAAUGCUCCUGUACACACUGUCUUGUUAAAAAUGCCAGUAAGUUCAUACAAACCCAGCUUGCACCCAAGGUCACAUUCAGAGAGCGUAGGGCUGGGAUGGGUUGUUUUCCAAGCUUCUGCCACUGUGUGGCUAGCUCUUCCCACUGGGAAGUUCUGUGUACCUGGAAUGUCGGAGUGGAGUCCUGUUCUAGUGUCCAGCACCUGACCCUGUGCCCAACCCCUCAACAGCCUAUUCCUGCUGUCCACAGCCUGCUGGAACUUUUUACAAAAUAUGUUGCCAUGCUGGACCCUGGGCACUGGACAUAAGCCCCCUGGCAGCCUUUUUCAUGUCACCCAAAGGGGUAAUUGUCCUACUGGUGGUCUGUAAGAUGAGUUAGGGUGACUUGCUAAUAGACAUUGUAAAUCUUAAUAUUUAUGUAUGUAUUUUAUUAUUACCGGUUUUCCAUUUAUGAUGGUAAUAUUGUUUCUUCUAAGAAUAUUUAUUUUUCCUUCUAAAUAUUGAGAUAAAAUUCAUGCUUUUGAAAUGUUCUAUUCAGUGGCUUUUAGUAUAUUUGCUAUGUUGUGCAACCAUCGACACUAUCCAUUUCUAGAACUUUUUCGUCAUCCCAAACAGACGCUCUGUAUUCAUAAAAAAAUAACUUCCUACCUGUCUCUCCCCCUAGUCUUUGGUAACCUUUGUUAUACUGGUAAACUUUGUUGUGCUCUCUGUCUGUGUGAAUUUGCCUAUUCUAGGGGCCUCAUAUAAGUGUAAUCAUACAGUAUGUGUCUUUUUGGGUCUGUCUGAUUUCACUUAGCGGGUUUUCAGGGUUCAUUCAUGUUGUAGCAUAUAACAGUACUGCAUUCCUUUUUCUGGCUGAAUAAUAUUCCACUGUAUGGAUAGACCCCAUUUUGUUUAUUCACACAUCAUUUGGACAUUUGGAUUAUUUCUGGUUUUUGGCUAUUAUGAACAAUGGUGCUAUGAACAGUUGCGUACAAGUUUUUGUGUGAACAUAUGUUUUCAAUUCUCUCAUUAUAUACCUAGGAGUAGAAUUACUGGGUCAUAUGGUAACUGUAUAUUUUUGAGGAACUGCCAAACUAUUUUCCCACGUCCAUGCACCAUUUCACAUUCCCACCAGUAAGUAAGAGGGUUCCAAUUUCUGCGCAUUCUUGCCAACACUAGUUAUUAUCUGACUUUCUGGUUAUAAUCAUUCUAAUGAGUGUGAAGUAGCCUCUGGUGUCAUUUGGAUUUGCAUUUCUCUGAUGAGUGAUGCUAUCAAGCACCUUUGCUGGUGCUGUUGGCCAUAUGUGUAUGUUCCCUGGAGAAGUGUCUGUGCUGAGCCUUGGCCCACUUUUUAAUUAGGCGUUUGUCUUUUUAUUACUGAGUUGUAAGAGUUCUUUAUAUAUUCUGGAUUCUAGACCCUUAUCAGAUACAUGGUUUGCAAAUAUUUUCUCCCAUUCUGUGGGUUGUGUUUUCACUUUAUCGAUAAUGUCCUUAGACAUAUAAUAAAUUUGUAUUUUAAAAGUGACUUGAUUUGGCUGUGCAAGGUGGCUCACGCUUGUAAUCCCAGCACUUUGGGAGGCUGAGGUGGGUGGAUCAUAUGAGGAGGCUAGGAGUUCGAGGUCAGCCUGGCCAGCAUAGCGAAAACUUGUCUCUACUAAAAAUACAAAAAUUAGUCAGGCAUGGUGGUGCACGUCUGUAAUACCAGCUUCUCGGGAGGCUGAGGCACGAGGAUCACUUGAACCCAGGAGGAGGAGGUUGCAGUGAGCUGAGAUCAUGCCAGGGCAACAGAAUGAGACUUUGUUUAAAAAAAAAAAAAGUGACUUGAUUUAAGGGAAAAAAUGACUGGCUAUAUUCAGUCAGAUAUGGCAAAAAGUCUCAAGGUGUUAAUGUGAAUGAUUAAGGUCUUGGGGGGGGUGUCCCCUAUCAGACUACAGGUGUUUAGAGGCACAGAAAAAGGUGCAGUUGGGUUCUUAAUGUGAAAUGAUGAGAAGCACAACUCCAGUGUGUCUCUUUGUGUAGAAUGUCAGCAGACACCCCCUGCUAGAUGUGCUGGAUCAUGGGAAAGCAUUUCCAUUUGUUACUAGAUUGUUCAGAAGUUUUAAUUUAUGAUGGGUGCGGUGGCUCAUGCCUGUAGUCCCAGCACUGUGGGAGGCUGAGGCAGGAGGAUCAUCUGAGGCCAAGAGUUCAAGAUCAGCCUGGGCAACAUAGUGAUACCCUAUCUCUUAAAAAAGAAGAAGUUUUUAAAUUUGAAAUAAUAAUAGGUACUGGAUUUAUGCAAAUGUCUUUUCUGCGUCUUUUGAGAUGAGUAUCAGGUUUUUUUUUUCUUUUAUCAUCUGAUGAUGAACUUAAUGUUUCCGUUUGUAUUAAUGGAAUACUAAGUCCCUCUGUGAUUUCUGAACCAAGCUAUUCCUAGGCCUGAGUUUUAUUUUGUUGACACAGAAAUAAAUUAGAAGGCCAAGCGUGGUGGCAUGUGCCUGUAGUCCUAGUUGCUGAGGUAAGAGGAUUGCUUGAGCCCAGGAGUUCAAGGCUGCAGCAAGCUUUGAUUGCACCAUUGCACUCCAGCCUUGGCGACAGACUAAGACGCUGUCUCAAAAAAAAAACAAAAACGACAAAAAAAAAAAAAAAAAAAAAAAACAGAAAAAAUAAACUAAGGCAAUGACAGUCCCUGGCAAAUGCUGGGAGGGAGGCAGCAGUGGUCAGGGAAGGUAACCCUGAAGCAGGACUUGUAAAGCAAAUAAGAUUGGGAGGCCAAGGUGGGUGGAUCACGAGGUCAGGAGAUCGAGACCAGCCUGGCCAACAUAGUGAAACCCCAUCUUUACUAAAAAUACAAAAAAAUUAGCCAGGUAUGGUGGUGGGUGCCUGUAGUCCCAGCUACUUGGGAGGCUGAGGCAGGAGAAUCUCGAACCCAGGAGGUGGAGGUUACAGUCAGCUGAGACCGCACCAUUGCACUCCAGCCUGGGUGACAGAGCAAGACUCCGUCUCAAAAAAAAAAAAAAAAAAAAAACCAAGAAGAAAAGGAAUGAAUUAGAACUUCUUCUGCUUGGACUUAAGGGCAUCAUCAGGCAGGUUUUGGGUAGGAUAGCAGGGGAGGCAGAGACACAGUCGGGGUCAGUGGUCAUGAGUGUGGCUUUGAGCCCAAAAACUUGGUUUCUGUUCCCUACUUUGCCACUUAGUAGUGCAUGACUUUGGCCAAAUUUCUUAAAUUCAUGAAGCAAGUUUCCGGGUGAAUGAAAUGGGGAUAAAAAUAGUGUUCAAACCUAUCCGUUGGUUUGUGUGAAACUGAAAUGAAUAGUAUCGUGCAGGUACUUGUGAGCAAGGGGAGCUGCUGUUUCCUGUCCCUUUAUGAUGGGAAAUAUCUAGACAAGUUCCCAACCCUCUGCACUGCAGGCUGCAUGGCACGGAGGGUCUUGUAACACCAGCUGGGGCUGGCCUUCUUUUAGGAGCUUCAGUGGUUCUGAAAACUUUUAUUUGUUUGUUUGUUUUAGUAGAUGUGGGGUCUUUCUGUGUUGCCCGGACUGGUCUCAAACUUCUGGACUCAAGUGAUCCUCCCCCGCUCAACCUCCCAAAGUGUUGGGAUUACAGGUGUGAGCCACUGUGCCCAGCCUUGAAAACUUUUUCAGGUUCUUCCAGGGUUACUGGGCUAUUAAAUAUUUCUAUUUCAUUAUAAGUCAGUUUUUCAAAGUUAUAUUAUCUUAAUUACCUUUUUUAUAUGUAUUAGUGUAGAGUAGCAUUUUAUAUUUUGAUAUCCUCCUUAUGCAUAGUUUUUCACUUUUUAUUCCUAGUUUUUCGUUUUUAAUAAGACUUUCAAGAAAUUUAUUUUAUUGGCCUUUUGAAAAAAGCAGCUUUAGAUAAAGUAAGCAGUUCUGCUUUCAUUUUAUAAUUUAUUUCUACUUUUGUUUCAUUAAUCUUUUCCUCCGGCAUGCCUUGGAUUUUGUUGUGUUACUCUUUUUCUAGAGGCUCGCAUUGUGUGUCUGGUUCACUUAUGAUCACGCUUGCCUACUUUUAAGAAUGGAAGAGGGGAGGUGGAGGGUGGCUACGCAGUCGAGGGUGUGAGGCAGUCUUGCUCUAGCCCCACCAUGCCCUCAGCCCGCUGUGGCCACGCUGGUUCCUCAAUUGCUGGGGCGUGCAGUGUCUGUAAGGGAGGCUACUGAUGCCAUCCGAGGAAGAUGUAAGGUUUCGUGUGGGCAGCGAGAGCCUAGCAGGCAUGUGGGGUGCCCAGCAAAGGGAAACAGUGGACAGUUGUUGCCUCAUUCCACAGAGUUUUGAUUUUUUUUUUUUUUUAAUGGUCACUCCAUCAACAUCCCCCAUGGCCAGAGCCUGAGCUGGUCCCCAGAGACACAGGCAUUCAGCUGACAGCCUCGCCUUCACGCUGCUGCUGUUCUCAUGGGGGACAGGCCUCAGGUGGCAAUGCACAAAUCAUCAGUUAAGGGCAGUUGUGACAGUUACCAAGGAGUGUAGUCCCCCGCCCAGUGAAAACAGCCCUAACCAGGGGUGGGGACCUUUGGGCUCUGACCCGAAGGGUAGGAGAAGCUGGAAGGACAGCAUUCCUGUCUGCGAAGGCAGGAGCAAAGCUGCCAGGCUAUGAAGGAAAUGGCUGGAGCCUGAAGUCGUGCAAGCUGGGGCUGGCAGGGACAGGGCCAACUUCCAGGCCUGGGGGCCACCAUGAGGAUUCAGGACGUGACCCCCAGGGCACAUGAAGGCCUUCCAUCUGUAUUUAAGAAAAGACUUUAUCAGACGAGUACGGUGGCUCACGCCUGUAAUCUCAGCACUUUGGGAGGCUGAGGCGGGUGGAUCACGAGGUCAGGAGUUCAAGACCAGCCUGGCCAAUAUGGUAAAACCCCAUCUCUACUAAAACUACAAAAAUUAGCCAGGCAUGGUGGCGCACACCUGUAGUCCCAGCUACUCGGGAGGCUGAGGCAGAAGAAUCACUUGAACCCGGGAGGUGGAGGUUACAGUGAGCCAAGAUCGCGCCACUACACUCCAGCCUGGGUGACAGAGUGAGACUCCGUCUCAAAAAAAACCAAAAGACUUUAUCUUAUUUCCUAUAUGUUUGUGGUUUCAGUCCUGAUGUAUAAUUUGACCCUAGUUAGAAUGGUUAUCUGAGGAAGUGGCCUGUACGAUUUCUGCUUUUUUAAAUGUGUGGCUCCCUUUCUUCAUUGAUUAACGUAUGAUUAUUUUUAUAAAUGUUCCAUGGCAGUGGGAAGGGAUUCUCUGUCACAUUCCACAUCUGGAUCAGUUCCUCCCCAUUUUGUUGGUCAAAUCCGGAUCUGCCAUAUCCUGUGUAAUGACAAGUGAGUUGCAUUCUCACCGUCACUCCUGGGGUCUCUCCGCUUCCCCUGAGCUGGCUCAGCAGUCUGCUCCAUGUGUUUUGAUGCAGGGUGACCCAUUGGUAUUUCCGACACUAACGCCCCCGUCUGUGGACUGCUUGCUGCUUGGGCUUCACUGUGUCUGGUGUUGACAGUGCAAACCUAAAGGUGUGCACACACACUCCGCUGUCUUCUUGUUUGCACUGGACUUAAAUAUCUAUGAGGGUUAUUUUCAACUGCUGAAUUUGGAAUGAUUCUUAUAUCUUUUCUGCUUUCUGCCCAUGUACAUGUGUUUAUUUUACACUGUUGUGAUUGGUAGUUACUAUGUGGGGACACAAUUACUUGGGCUGAAAUAAUCCACCUGUUCUGGUUGGGGUCCUCUGGGGCAUUCCAGGGUGAGAGGUUGUCACUGCCACCUGGGCCAUGUGGGCCGGCACCAGCAUUUUGUGGUUACGAAUUGUACAGUCACAAAUAUCUUUGGGCAAAUCCCCUUCUAUACCUCAAGGCAGCUUUUGGUUUGCAACCCCACUGGCCAGAGGGAAGGGCCAGUCACUUGGCUCUCUCACUGCCCUGCGCCCCAGAUGGUUCUAGGGCUGCUGUUUUCCCUUGGCCCUGCCAACACCACUGUUUUUACUUCUGCUCAUUGGCUGAGUGCAGUGGUUCCUGGAAGCCGGUGGCACGUUUCCCCGCAUAGCUCGCUCAUCCCACAGCACACACCCGAGGGUUCUGUUGCUAACACGCUGAAUUAAUUCUUUGCUCAUCUUACAGAGUGUGUUUUGACUGCCCCCAUUUCUGAGGCCUUGUAAGGCCAGAGCUUUGUUGCUUCAUCGGCAGGUUGGGACUUAGAUGGCCGUGAACGUUUCCUCUCUGCUGCUGCAGUAAGUAAGUGCCCGCACCAUAGUGUGUUUGGGGGCUGAAGUUGAAGCGAGGCUGUGAGGGGAGAUGGACGUGUGAGGAGGGAUGAUGGGGCUUGAGCAAAGUGGGGGAGGGGCAAAGGCAGUUGGCCCAACACAUCAACACAUUCCCCACCCCUUUGAGAGGUCUGAGGCCUGCAGACCUGGCUCGGAGCCCACCUGGUAGUCCUCAGACCGUGUGUGUGUGUGUGUGUGUGUGUGUGUAAAAGAGAGAAGUUGUGGAGAAAUAGGGGGCUGAUUCUGCUCAGAUUCAUCAGGACGAGUAGAAGGCACCCAGCUCUCACCCUGGCCUGACAUGUGUGUCCCUGAGCAGGUUACAGCCCUCUCUGAGCCUCUGCUUCCCAUCUGGACCCUGCUGGGCAGGGCUUCUGAGCUCCUUAGCACUAGCAGGAGGGGCUCCAGGGGCCCUCCCUCCAUGGCAGCCAGGACAGGACUCUCAAAUGAGGACAGCAGAGCUCGUGGGGGGCUCCCACGGACCCGCCGUGGGCCCAGGGGAGGCAGAGCCUGAGCCAACAGCAGUGGUGCUGUGGACCGUGGAUCCUGAGGGUGGCCUGGGGCAAGUACCGGCUGAGGGUCCAGGUGGGCUUUGUGUACCUUUGGGUCCUGGGGCCCUGGUGACUUGGACCCGUCCUCCCCAGAACUUGGACUCCAGGUUAGAGUCAAGUGACAGGAGAAAGGCUGGUGGGGCCCUGUGCUUCCGACUUCAUUUCGAGUGAUGGCAGUUCCCAGGAAGGAAUCCACAGCUGACGGUGGCUGACAGAUCAGAGAACGGAAGGCAAGGCAGGCGGGCGUCUGCGUGACCUCAGGUGCUUGGGGCCCAGCAGACCCAGAGAACCAUUUCCACUAGGCCAGGGUGCCGGAAGUGUCCACAGGUCUUAGAUUCCCUGUUCAGAUGAAAAGAUUUGUGCCUUUAAUGAUAAAAGUGAUCUGCAUAGAGUCAAAAAUUCAAGCCAUGGUUAUAAAAUGCAAGUAAAAUCCCUGCCCUCACCUAUCCCACCCUGCUACACAGAGAUGUCCUCUCAAGUUUCCUAGACUCACUCUGGAAAUUUCUGUAUACACACAGAAGCUUGUGCCUCUGCUCGUGAAGGCAGAGGGAGGGAGAGCUGAAGGACCAGCACCUUCUCACCUGUGGGCCCCCUCAGUGCUCGGUCCCAGAGCAUGCAGGACUGUGCCUCGUGUUCAGUUUGCUGGUCUGACUUCAUGCUCCUUGGGCGGGAUAUGCAUGUGCCAUGCUAGGAGACAUGUGGAUGUGAAGCUGGGGGACACUGUCCCCUGGCUAUGCCUUUACAAGGGAAGUAAGGAAGGUAGGAGGUGAGCCUGGGAGGGAGGGAGGGAGGCGCGGAGCCGCCGCAGGUGUUUCUUUUACUGAGUGCAGCCCAUGGCCGCACUCAGGUUUUGCUUUUCACCUUCCCAUCUGUGAAAGAGUGAGCAGGAAAAAGCAAAA